rnacentral:rRNA from 1 species
UGGUCGGACAUCAGGAGGUUAGUGCAAUGGCAUAAGCCAGCUUGACUGCGAGCGUGACGGCGCGAGCAGGUGCGAAAGCAGGUCAUAGUGAUCCGGUGGUUCUGAAUGGAAGGGCCAUCGCUCAACGGAUAAAAGGUACUCCGGGGAUAACAGGCUGAUACCGCCCAAGAGUUCAUAUCGACGGCGGUGUUUGGCACCUCGAUGUCGGCUCAUCACAUCCUGGGGCUGAAGUAGGUCCCAAGGGUAUGGCUGUUCGCCAUUUAAAGUGGUACGCGAGCUGGGUUUAGAACGUCGUGAGACAGUUCGGUCCCUAUCUGCCGUGGGCGCUGGAGAAUUGAGGGGGGCUGCUCCUAGUACGAGAGGACCGGAGUGGACGCAUCACUGGUGUUCGGGUUGUCAUGCCAAUGGCACUGCCCGGUAGCUAAAUGCGGAAGAGAUAAGUGCUGAAAGCAUCUAAGCACGAAACUUGCCCCGAGAUGAGUUCUCCCUGACCCUUUAAGGGUCCUGAAGGAACGUUGAAGACGACGACGUUGAUAGGCCGGGUGUGUAAGCGCAGCGAUGCGUUGAGCUAACCGGUACUAAUGAACCGUGAGGCUUAACCUUACAACGCCGAAGGUGUUU